AGAGACUGAGGGAACGGGUUGGAUUGAAAACCGAGAACAUCUUGGCAGGAUGUGGCUUUUCAGGGGGUGGUAUAACAUUCUGAAGUGCCUUGGGUUUCCUUGAUGGAGCCAUGAUGAACCAUGUUGCCAUCACAGUGGCCAAAAACCUGUUUAUCAUCUCAGCGAAUAGGAACAAGCUGAACAGACUUCUUGCUUUCAGUAUGGGUGCCCUGGUGAUGAACAGAGUUAAGAAACACAAUCUAGAACUAAGAAUGAAGGGACCUAGAUCAGUGGCAGUCCAAGAUAAAAGGGCAUACUGAAGAAAAGAAGCUGGCAUAGGCUAGACAUGGUACUCCACUCACUUGAGAGGUAGAAGAGGAAGACCAGGUGUUCAAGGACAACUUUGUGUAUAUAUUGAAAGGCGAUGGAAGAGCCUGACU
rnacentral:lncRNA from 1 species